rnacentral:lncRNA from 1 species
GUUUCGCCGACUAGAGGAAUAAAGAGAUUUGGGAUUCGGGGGAAGUUGAGUCCCCGUUUCAUUGGACCGUAUGAGGUUUUGGAGCGUGUAGGCCCGGUAGCGUAUAGACUUGCUCUACCGCUGAACCUAUCGGGCGUGCACAACGUCUUUCACGUAUCGGUCCUUCGGAGGUACAUUCAUGAUCCAGCUCAUAUUUUGGAAGCUGUACCAGUGGAGCUGCGCGAGGAUUUGAGCUUCGAGGAGCAACCAGUGAAGAUUUUGGCUCGCGAGGUGAAGAAGCUGCGGAAUCGGGAUAUUCCGUAUGUGAAGGUCCUUUGGAGCAACCACGGGGAGCGGGAGGCCACGUGGGAGCUAGAGAGCGCGCUGCAGGAGCGCUAUCCCCAUCUUUUUCAGACGGAGGCUUGAGGUACUUUGCCUUUUUCGAGUUUCGCGGACGAAACUCUUUUUUAGGAGGGGUGAAUGUAACGCACUGGACCUUGCAAAUUGCUGGGUUCGAGUGAUUGAUUGUGUUCUGAGCUUUUCCAGACUUUCUGGUGGGUUGUUGACAGUGUUCCGACCUAUGGUUCGAGCCCCGAGAAUUGUGGUUUAAAACCUUGCAUCAAAAUCCAAAAAGUUGGAUUUUUGGUCAGCUCUCGGGUAGUCUUCUGCAGGCUGUGUACCGGUACGGGCUUGAUGGCUAUACCGGUAUGGGGUUGAUGGCUGUACCGGUACGGGCCCGCGUACCGGUACACAGACGGCUUUUCGGCCAAACCCGAGGAUCGGGUUUGCGUUUUCGUGGGUUGUGUACCGGUACACAAACACGUGUACCGGUACGCAGUGCAGUUUCGGGCUAUUUCGUGGAGGGGUGUUUUUGUAAUUGUUACAACACCUUUAUAUACCACCCCAGCCCCCUUGGCUGCUCUCCUUGAGCUCCAAACAGAGAGAAACAAGGUGAGUCUUUCCCUCUUGGUUUGAUCUCCAUUUUUGGUGGUUUUUAUGGGUUUUGAUCUCUUUCCCUUCUCUACUUCUUGCUUUUGUGGGAUUUUUCACCAUUGGAGAAGCAUGGGAUCUUGGUUGGAGCUUGUUUGGAGAUCAACCUUCAACCCUAGAGGACGUGGAGCUUGGUUUUGAGCAUCUUGUGAGGUUAGUAAACUUAAUCUCCCAUUUGAAUUAAGUUUUGAAGGUUUCUCUUGGAUGAAACCCUAGAUUUUGGAUUCUAGGGCUAGAAAUAGGGAUUUUUGAUUUGAGAGCUUUGAAACCUAAUUGAUGGGUUUAGAAUCUUUGUUUAGGUUAGAUUGGAAGGACUCUAACUCCCAUUUGGAGAUCGUGAGAGCCUCCUUCGCAAUCGGUAAGUUUUUCUCCAACCCUAGCUUGAGAAGCUUAAUGAUUGAGCUAUUUGCUCUUCGUUCCGUUUGGGUGACCCUAUUUUUGAUGUUUCUAGGGUACUAGGAAGCUUGUGGAUACCUUCGUUCGGCGAAACGAAGAAGUCGAUUUUGGUGGGUUUGACUUCAUGAAAAUGGGGCAAAAUGGCCCCUAUGCCUUCUAAACUUUUCGUAAAGUAUUCUUGAAUGCAAAUUCAUACUAAACAUGAUUUAUGUGAAUUUUAGAACACUUAACAUGCAUGCCUCAUGUAUCGUAAAAUUUGUACUCCAUAUAGUAGAGCUAUAUGUGUAGAUUGCAUGCAUUGUGGAUAGUGCUUGGUUUUGCAAGUUGAGAACAUGUUUCCAUGCUAGAAUUGAGUGAACUAUACAUCAUGAAUAUAUUAAUGCCAUGCUUGGGACUCGUUGAACAAAAGUGCCAUAAAGGGGCACAUGGAAUUAGUAAACUAUGAAAAUGCAACUUAGAGACAUGAUGAUCGGCCAUUGUACAUCUGCUAUAUUCCAUGUUAGAGACAUGAUGACAUAGAGAUAGGCUAUUGAGAUACUUGAUAUAUUCCAUGUUUUAGACAUGAGGACUUGAUACUUGAGACAGAUCAUUGCUUGCUUGCCAUUGUGCUCAUUCGCACAUGCUUGUGAGGGUUGCUCCCUACAAGCUGGUACUCCGGAGAUAGCCAUCGCAACAUAUACUCGCCCGUGCGGGAUUGGGCGCCGAAGUGGGUUGCCGUGGGGGAGGCUCAUCCCUAGAGUGGGGAUGUUGACUACCACGGGGUCAUUAGGCACGGCGCAGGCCAGACAGCCUUCGGGUGGGUCUUAUAUGAUUGGGACUUAGUGACAGAACAUGCUAUGUGAACUUUAAAACUAUUAAAGUGGACUUGGAGUAGAAUAGUAAACAAUGACAUCUUUACUAUUUUUGCAUCGAGGAUAUCGCAUUGGUUGCAUUUCUAUGCUUAUGCAUGUCAUACACAUCCAUGUACAUUCAUAAUAUCGUUGCUUUAUUACUUAUGCAAAUCAUGCUAAGUAGAGACUCUAUGUUAUAGUAAGUUACAUUUUACUCACCUUUCGCUUUACUACAUUGUUAGUCACUGACCUCUUUUCGUAGCUCUUGGGCCUUGUGGCGCAGUUCACUUAAGUCAGUAAUUGCUCACUGGGAACUAUUUUUAAUAGUUCUCACGCCCCCGUUUUCUGGUUUUCUUUCAGAGCCUUCUGCACCGGUGGAGGCACGGGAUCGCGGCAAUGGGAUCGCAUAGCUAGCUAGCGAGGAGCGGUUCUUACCUAGGUGGUUUGCUCUUUUUUUUUGUCGUUGAGAGAGAGUGAGAGAUUUUAUAUCCAUGUAUAGAGACCACCUAUGUAUCUACCUUUGGCACUUGUAUUUGGGAUUUUUUUUGUAUUACUUUAUGCUUUUAUUAGUGGAUUCCAGUUUUAUGCUCUUUUCUUUAUUGUAGAACUUAGUAUUAUAUCAUGCUCUGAUACUCCUAAUUGUCUUUUAUUACCGUUUUAUUUAUUGUUGUUUUUAGACGCCUUAUAUGUUUUAGACAUAUGGCGGGUCUGGGCACGCGCCGGGCGGGCUUCCGCUGGGUCCCGGGGCGUGACAGGCAGACAAGGGAGGUGAUGUCCAUCUAGCGUCUGUUCGACGCGCUCAAACCGGACCAAAUUGGUAGCGAUCUCGGGGCGUGUGUAAGGACUGAGAAUUUGACCGUAUAGUCAGACUCUCUGUUGACGAUGUUUUUGUGUGUAAUUUAAUUACAAAAGCACUCGUCAAGUUUCGGGAGAAAACGAGUUAGAAUGGAGACUUUACGCGAUCUCCAAGUUUCACUUAAAGUGAAUAGUAACUCGAUUUUAUGGAGAAGCAACGGUGUGAAGUUGGCUUUAGGCUUGUAUCGGACUCCGUUCAUAGUGAUCUAAUAGCUCAUUUCGAAUGGUUCAGCCAUUCUGGAACCAAUGGCAGUGACGGAUUUUGGGUUUGAUGUACGGAUUUUGAGAAAUUCUAAAAAUACAUGUAUUAUAUGAAUUUGUGCGCCGUUUUGCCUUUCGGAGAGAGAACGGGUUCCACUGCGAAUCCAUGAUCGAUCGAGGCGAACCAAAAUUAUGGGUUUGUUGUCUCCAUUGUGCUGAUCACACUGGCUUGAUCCUUUCGCAAAUCUGACGGACGGAUCUGCAGAUAAUGCGCGUUGUUCGAGGAGGGGUCUUUGAUGGCAAAACGAUAUUCUUGCGAAAAGCGUGACAUUUUAUGUGUCGUUUCGUGUGAAACCGAAGGUGGAGGUGUAUUCGCGCGUUUUACACGCGCUGUGAAGGACCCACUAUUAAAUACUGAGGUUUGGUGGGCUAACUCGCAAUUGUACACUUCUCUAUAUAAAGUUCACCUAGGGUUUGCCCAUUGGCUUACUGUUCCGAACGAUCGGAGGCUUCCCGAUCUCUACGGAAAGGAGCACAAUGAUUGUUACUCUUUGCUGAUCAUCAUGCUCACCUUAUAUUCUGUCGGGAAGACUUCGUUUUGCUAUUUCGGCAGUGUCGCCCCUUUAGGGCCUUCUUGGCUGCUGUUUCAGCUUUGCGUGCACUUUUCUAGCGAUCCGAGGCUGUCCUGAUGCCUCCGGAGGUAAGCACGGUGAUUGCUGGUCUAUGCUAAUCACAGUUCUCACCUUUGGAUCAGCGGAUGUCAUAUCGGCCUGUUCGGUGUGAUUUUUCACGACUGCGCGCUGUUCGUAGAACUUUGGGGUUGCUCCUGUGCCUCCCACAGUGAGCCGUUGUGCUCCGGAUCAUGAGCACGGCCUCCAGCAUGUCGAGACCUAUCAGUACGUGUUUCGGCGGACCUUGGAAGUCCUCGGUUUGCGAGAACGAGCCACUAAAUCACCCGAUUUACAUAAAUUGAUAGAUUUUAUGUAAAUAUAGGGAUUUUUAUGCAUUUGUGCACCUUGUGGCUACUGUGGCAGUGUGUAUGUGUGUGAGGUGACCUUUGGACUAAUUGUCCAAGGUCCGUUAGCCUUCGCGAAAAUCGAAAGUCGAUUUUGGUGCGUUUUUCGGCGAAAUUCGCCGAAAGAACGCGGUUUCGGUUCGGAUUUCUUCUGACAAUGUUUGGUUGCCCUGUGAAUUGUCGCUGAGCCUUGUUGGCUGGUCACCAUCAUCAUAUUGUGGGUUCGUUGAUGACGGGUGAGCGACGGUGGGUUCCGGUGUCGAAAUAGACACUUUCGGGAACCCAGAUUCGUACAUUUAUCCGGUGAUAAUUGUGUAGUGGUGUUACCUCGUGUUUGCUGCCAAGACAUCCAAAUUGGAGUGUCUUGUGGCAGCGGGUGACUCGUGACACGAGUCGGUGAGUUUCGGGACACUUAGUGGGUCCCGAUGGCGUCCCGGUGUGAUUUUUGGGACUUCCGGCGAGUUACGGUGAUCGGUUUUGGAAAAUCGAUUUUGGGGACUUGUAUGGGGGUUUGUGAGUUGUGUACUUCAGGUUAGUGGUUUGGAUACUGACUUAGUUGAUCUUCUUAGGUCCAGUAGGCUCCGUGCGCACUCAGUGUUCCGAUGCGACAGUGACAGGUGGGUGCUUCGAGCUUGUAGUCGGUGAGAUCAUUUCACCCUUCCUCUGUUCUUUCAUAUCAGCAUCAUAGUCUCUACAUGUCAGUUGAUUAUUUAUCGUUUGUUUAUCGUAUCUCAUUGAUUGCAUUUGGAUAGUUGUGGAUAGACAUGUAGAGCAGGUUGCAUAUAUAUUGUAUCUCUGUGGACCUUGGGUCUAGGCAACACAUCGACUCCUUUGUCGUGUGUUUUGUUCGGCAUUGUACGCCCUUGCACCUGGCUUUGGCCAUGGCACCGGUCUCUUUUUGCCGGUUUUCAUUUUGAGCAUAUCAGCAUGAUUUAGUCACAGCACUGUAUAUUCUAGACACCAGGUUGGUUUGGCCACUAACCAAGGGGUGUAUGUAUCCGAAUAGGUCGUCGGUGAUGCAUGAAUAAGUUGGCAGUGUCUACUCUGUGACAGGCAAUGCUUGAGGUCUGUGGACCAAUAUAGCAGUAUCAGAUUAGGUUUGAUUUUGGACUAUUUACCCUUGAGGCAUCCGUUCAAUUGAGUUUUUAUUACAGUAGUAGUUUCAUUCUUGCUCAGUUAUUAUCCUGUUUCUAUUACUACUGUAGUUGCUCUUAUAUCAUAUCAUGUUCAUAUCUGUUGUUCUAUCUCCUUUGGUUUCCCGUGAUUACGGUUUGCCUUCGUGGCUCUGUCGUACCCGCUAGAAAACCAUGGUUGCGGUUUCUCACCCCCCAUUCCUCCCAGGUGUCAUAGACGAGGAGUUGGUAUUUGGGCUCGAUGGGAGGACGAUCUAGCUAGUUGGCAGUAGCGACCGUAACCCUGAUUAUAUUUUUUCCCGCAUUCAGUAGUUGUUAAUAAUAAAUGGUUCAGUUAGAUGUUUGAAUGUUUGUGGGUCACUAGUUUUGGUUUUAUAGAUAUUCAGUUCUCGAAUUUGUGUAUUUAUACAUAUUUACACAUCGUGGUUUUCUACCCCUCGAGGUAGUUGAUUUUCAAAAUAGAGUUUUCAUGUGGGAAACAGUUUUAAAAAGGUUUUCGAAUAGUUUUCAUGAAUUAAUGAAUUAGAGUUUAAGAACAAAAGCUUCCGUGUGCGGAGCACUUUUAAAUAGCAUGUUUGUUGUAUUGUGCAUUGCAUCAUCCAGCGCCUAAGGAGUGCUUAGAGGCAUGCAUCAUCUCUAAGGAUCGUUAGCUGUAUGGAAAUGCAUAUCAUGAAUUGGUUGUUGAUUGGUAAAUGUAGGUUGUGGUUGAGAUCCUGCUGUAUAGUUUACACACCGUGCAAAUACAAAGGAGACUCUGUCCGAGUGGACAGAGGAACAUUGUAUUUAUGGUGGAUUUGAACGUCACGUGGGCCAAGUUGAAAAAAAAAAAAAUGGCACGUCUUCCGCAACUCUGUUUCAAAAUGGUAAUGGAUUUUAAAAAGGCUUUUAAAAUCGGCCCGGGGCGUGACAGAUUAAGAUAGUAUCAGAGCGUGAAACAACUACAACUACAUUUGCAAGUUUUCUGACUGAACCACUAGUUAGGUUGACCAUAGGAGGACCAUAAGAUUUUAAGCACGUACGAGCGCGGGGUAUUCGAGAUUUAGUCUCGAGGUUUUCGAGCUAGGAGGCUCGAAGGUUGAUCUGUGUUUAUUACCUCGUGUUUCUUGUGUUGCAGGUUAUGGCAUGUACUUGUUUUGGUGUUAGGAGUGGGGGCAAUGAGGAGACUAGCUCUGAGCAGUGAGGUGUCGACAGACUGCUAUUACUACUAUUAUCGCCCCACCUCCAACACAGGACAUGGAAAUCUUGGCUAGUCAAUCCGUAGGCAUAGGGUUCACUCUUCUAAGCUAUGUCAGAUGAUUCUGCUGGUGGAGUUACCAAGGCGGAUGUUUCGACCUUUUUGGGUUCCUUGUCAAUGUGGUGUGUGUCGGAUGUGGCUUUUGUACAGUCGUGAUGUCGGAUCUCUGUUUAUGCAUUCUAGUGCAUUAUAGUGUCAUUGGUUGGCUUAGUUUUGUGUCACGUCUCCAACCUUCUGUUGGCGAUGGAUCCGCGGGUAUUUUACCUUUCUUUCGAUAAGUACGUUGGCUGCAGACAAUGUAGUGUUGAAAGUUAGGACAAGAUACCCUACCCCUUUUGCAAAAUAUCUGGAUUGGGUCGAUAUUUCUUUUCUCUUGCAUGGAGGUGACGGUUAUCUUAGAUCAUCUAGUGAGCCUGGUGGUUGUCUCAGAUGUCGCAGCUUGUGAUGUUGUACAAGGUAUACAUUUUGGUUUAUCGUGGAUUCCUUGGAUUGGAUUGGGUUGCUGUUUGGUCACUUGGUGAGAGGUACAUCGAAGUCUCGUUGAGACUGGCAUUGAGUAUUGCAAGGAACAUCGAUCACUAGGGUCCCUUAGGGAUAACAGCGACAGGGUCUCGUAGAGACAGAUGUUGGGCAUCACUGGUGGUUUGAUCGCAUGUUGCGAGUGGCAACUCUGUUCACCUAGUGACGGACAUGCAUUGGCUUUAUGUUGAUUGUUUGUACCUGAAUGAGUGUUGAGCAGGCUAAAUUGUCGGCCGAACUAGUAUUGGCAGCCUUAGACCUUUUUGGUCUAGGCGGAUGGUUAGGUCUUGGACCUCAGAGAGUCGGGUGCCAUCGAAGGGUUCCGAUGGUUAAGGUUGGACUCUAUCUGAUUAUAGUUAGAACUGGUAGGAGGUUGUAGCCUCCAAGGUGAGUGUUGGUACUCAGGUUUAGGGGUUUUCCUACCUUGGCACUAUAGCCGCGUUUGGUGCGUUAGUGGAUUGUUAACCGAAAUUGUUUUCGGUGGUGUGUAAGCAAGUUUCGGGGACGAAACUUUCUUUAAUGGAGGAAUGAUGUAGGGACUAAGAAUUUGACUAUAUAGUCAGACUCUCUGUUGAUGAUGUUUUUGUGUGUAAUUUAAUUACAAAAGCACUCGUCAAGUUUCGGGACAAAACAAGUUAGAAUGGAGAUUUUACGCGAUCUCCAAGUUUUACUUAAAGUGAAUAGUAACUCAAUUUUCUAGAGAAGCAACGGUGUGAAGUUAGCUUCAGUCUCGUAUCGGAAUUCGUUCAUAGCGAUCUAAUAGCUCAUUUUGAACGGUUCAGCCAUUCUAGAACCAAUGGCGCUGACGGAUUUUAGGUUUGACGCACGGAUUUUGAGAAAUUCUGAAAAUACAUGUAUUAUAUGUAUUUGUGCGCCGUUUCGUGUAGCACACUGGACCUUUGCAAAUUGCGAGGUUCGAGUGUUUGAUAUGUAUUCCGAACUUUUCCACACUUGGUGGAAGGUCGUAGAUGGUAUUCCGACCUAAAAGUUUGAUUUCUUGAAUUUGGCUAAGUCCUGGAGUUUUCACUCUCGGGGACCGGUCCCUGGCUAGGAGAGACCGGUUCCAUCUGAACAGUGUCGCGGCCAGCUUGAGACAACCGGUCCCUGGCUAGGAGAGACCGGUUCCCGAACGCGUGUUUUGCUAGAAGGUACGAGAGACCGGUUCCCGAACGUUGGUUUUGCGGGGCAGGCUGAGAGACCGGUCCCUUAGCACGAAAACUGCCCAGACCGGGCAGUGCACAGGUUGCAUUUUUUUUAGAGGGACCUAGGUGGAUUUUGUUACAUUUGAAGGCUUAUAGAGCCUUUCCUGUAAGGAAGUGAAUUCUCGAAAUCCGAGGAUUGUACUUCAUCCAGGAUCGACUAACUGUCGAGAGAAUACCCUUUGUGGGAGUUGAAAAUGUCCAAAACACAAAAAGUGCUUUGGAGUUGAGUUCGCGAGAGCAAAUAGAUAAAAAUCUAGACUCAGUAGAUUUUUGCCCUCGGGGACCGGUCCCUGGAGGGAAGGACCGGUCCCCGUAGCUGAGGGUCGCGGGGGAGGUCGAUGCGACCAGUCCCUAGCUGAGGGGACCGGUCCCCGUGCGCGACACCCGCGAGAAGAAGCCAAAAUUUGGAUAAGUCCUGAAAGUUCCCCGUUCGGGAACCGAUAUCUCAGGAAAGACCGGUCUCCCAGGGACCGGUCCCUCGGGGGAGGACCAGUUCCCGUGCGCGAAAAGUCCCCAGACUGCUGGGAGAGCUCUCGGGGACCGGUCUCCCCGACCAGGGACCGGUCCCUCUGGGCGAAAACUGCCCAGUGAGGGCUGUGCAAUGGAUGGAAAGUUGAGGGGUUUAGAUGCAAAAUGGCCUUUAUUAGAGUUGGCUGAUGUAACACACUGGACCUGUGCAAAUUGCGAGGUUCGAGUGUUCGAUUUGUAUUUCGAACUUUUCCACACUUGGUGGAGGGCCGUCGAUGGUAUACCGGUCUAAAAGUUCGAUCUCGAGAGUUUUGGCAGAGUCCUGAGAGUUUUUACUCUCGGGGACCGGUCCCUGAUAGGAGAGACCGGUCCCCCAGUGAACAGUGCUGCGUGGCCGGCAAGGCAACCGGUCCCUGGCAGUCGAGACCGGUCCCCGAGCGCGUCUGCGCGGGGAGAGACCGGUCCCGCGCAGGGAAAGACCGGUUCCUGAACGUUGGAUCUUCGGGGGCAGGCUGAGAGACCGGUCCCAGGUCGGGGAGACCGGUCCCUCUGGGCGAAAACUGCCCAGACCGGGCUGAUGUAAAUUUGAGUUUUUGAGGGGCCUAUGUGGAUUUUGUUACUUUAGAGGCUAUAAGCAGCCUCUCCUCCCCUCUCACUCUCAUUUUCUCUCCCUCACACUCUUCCUACACUUCUAGAGAGAGAAAGGGAAGGAGAAGAAGGAGAAGGAGAGGAGAAGAGCUUGCUUGGAGGCCUUGGAGCACCAUCUUCUUCCUCAUUUCCCACCUUUGGAGGCUUGGAGCUUGCGGUUGGAGCUUUGUGGAGGAUCAAACUUCAACC